AGCCUGACGGAGCGACGCCGCGUGAGCGAGGAAGGCCUUCGGGUCGUAAAGCUCUGUUGUCAGGGAAGAAGGCGCGCCGUUCGAAUAGGGCGGCGCGGUGACGGUACCUGACGAGGAAGCCCCGGCUAACUACGUGCCAGCAGCCGCGGUAAAACGUAGGGGGCGAGCGUUGUCCGGAAUUACUGGGCGUAAAGCGCGCGCAGGCGGUCCUUUAAGUCUGAUGUGAAAUUCCGCGGCUCAACCGCGGGUGUGCAUUGGAAACUGGGGGACUUGAGUGCGGAAGAGGGGAGCGGAAUUCCCGGUGUAGCGGUGAAAUGCGUAGAGAUCGGGAGGAACACCAGUGGCGAAGGCGGCUCUCUGGUCCGUAACUGACGCUGAGGCGCGAAAGCGUGGGGAGCGAACAGGAUUAGAUACCCUGGUAGUCCACGCCGUAAACGAUGAGUGCUAAGUGUUAGAGGGGAUUGACCCUUUAGUGCUGCAGCUAACGCAUUAAGCACUCCGCCUGGGGAGUACGGCCGCAAGGCUGAAACUCAAAGGAAUUGACGG
rnacentral:rRNA from 1 species